ACGUGCUCGUCGUCUUCGUCGUCGUCGCUCCGUUUCGAGCGUGAGAAAUAAUCAUUCGACCUCGUACGCGUAAUAUUUAUAAUUAGUUUAUGCGAAAGUGACUAUAACGCUGGGACGAUUGACAAGAAGGUUACACACGGAAGCACGUGUUGAGUAACUAAUUUUAAAACCAGAAGAGAAACAAUAAAAUUUGCGAGCCGAGAGCUCUUUCGACGAUGGGCUGGAAGAACCCUCUGUUUAUUUUCCAUUGGUUUCUGUCUUUCUGGAUGAAAUUCCUCUGCUUCCGGUAGUUCAAUUAAUCAGCAACGUCAGAUCAAAGAAAAUCCUGAGCUCGAGGAUGUCGUGAGUACAAGUUGAAGAUAAGAGUGGAGCACGUAGUCAUUAGAACGAUCACAUGCUUACGAGGAUUUCAUCUAUGAUGGACCGCCAAACGACCUUGUCUUCGCGUUAUGUAAAAGAAAUAUUAUAUCCACGAGGUUCCCAACAUUUUAUAACUGGCAGCAAUAAUAGUGGAUGAUACUAGAGGGUAUUACGUCUUUGUAAAUCGAGAUUUAUAAAUCAUUGAAUUUUGAACACACAUUGAAAUUUUUUCCAACGUAGUCAUCGCAGUAAACGUUCAAUGAGGGAGCUUCGAGAGUUGAACUGUAAAAAGUUUUGGAUACCAGCAAAAGUUGCUCGUGUUUUAUGUAUACAAUCACAUGGUAAAUGGAAAUCGAAGCUGUUAAUACAUCCUUCAGCAGGCUUCGUCUACCGACGUACUCGGCAAAGUCAAUAGUAUUGUUUCUAGUGCCACUCCUCGAACUACUACCAACACUGUCAGUGCUAUAUCUACUUCGCAACGUAUUUGUUGAAUGAUACAUAUGUAUUUAAAUAUUAUAUAGUGUUGGAUUGAAAAUGUGAAAAAAUCAUUUUACAUUUUUCGAGUAAAUUUUCAGACUUAAUUGACUGAUUAAUUAUAUUAUUAAAAUAAUUAUAAAAG